AGCGAACGCUGGCGGCAGGCCUAACACAUGCGAGUCGAACGAAGUCUUCGGACUUAGUGGCGGACGGGUGAGUAACACGUGGGAACGUGCCUUUAGGUUCGGAAUAACUCAGGGAAACUUGUGCUAAUACCGAAUGUGCCCUUCGGGGGAAAGAUUUAUCGCCUUUAGAGCGGCCCGCGUCUGAUUAGCUAGUUGGUGAGGUAAAGGCUCACCAAGGCGACGAUCAGUAGCUGGUCUGAGAGGAUGAUCAGCCACAUUGGGACUGAGACACGGCCCAAACUCCUACGGGAGGCAGCAGUGGGGAAUCUUGCGCAAUGGGCGAAAGCCUGACGCAGCCAUGCCGCGUGAAUGAUGAAGGUCUUAGGAUUGUGAAAUUCUUUCACCGGGGACGAUAAUGACGGUACCCGGAGAAGAAGCCCCGGCUAACUUCGUGCCAGCCGCCGCCGUAAAAC
rnacentral:rRNA from 1 species